AUGCCUUAAACUUAUGAGUAAGGAAAGUAAUGAUUCAGGGUGAUGCCAAACUCCUCACUGCUAAUGUGAGAAGAAUUUUUGAUUGGGUAAAGGUUGCCCCCUAAGGCGACCCUGCUACUUUGCCCGAUGCCUGAGUGCAGUAGCCUGACCG